AGAUGUAGCAGCAAACUUCUUGGAUAAGCUCCUGCUUUUCUUUAAAUGUUGUGAGGAAAGAGAACCUGUUCCAGCUGUUUGGAGCUAUAUGGUCUUUAGAAAUAUAAGCAGCAUUGCAGCAGAGUCUUGUUGAUGGGCAGAAGUCCUGAUGAGAUAAGAAUGCCAAACAUGCAAUAUAUGAUGAAAAUCACUGUCA